UACGAAGGGUGCAAGCGUUACUCGGAAUUACUGGGCGUAAAGCGUGCGUAGGUGGUUUGUUAAGUCUGUUGUGAAAGCCCCGGGCUCAACCUGGGAAUGGCAAUGGAUACUGGCAAGCUAGAGUGCGGUAGAGGGUAGUGGAAUUCCCGGUGUAGCGGUGAAAUGCGUAGAGAUCGGGAGGAACACCAGUGGCGAAGGCGGGUCUCUGGGCCGAAACUGACGCUGAGGAGCGAAAGCGUGGGGAGCAAACAGG
rnacentral:rRNA from 1 species